CGGUCGCGAAGAAGGAGGGUAACUCUGUCCUUAUCUUCGGUAUUGUAUGUGAUUAUUUGACUUUGUACUUGUGAGCAUCUGGUGUUGUCUGUGAAUGCCUGAAUUGGCCAUAUUCUGUUUGUUGGUUGUUGUGAGUAAAUACCUGUUUUGGUUGUAUUCUGUUUGUUGAAAAGUUGUUCUUUUAAGCCGGUUCAUUGACU
rnacentral:lncRNA from 1 species